CUGCAGCCAGGAAUGGGGACCAGUGAGAGAGUGUGGGCGGGGGGGUGGGUGUCAGAGUCGUAGGCACUCCAACAGCAGAGGAGACUCCCGCUCACAUGAGGCCAGCCGUACCCCAGUGGACAGCAGGCUCCUUCCCACUGUUGUAGACACUUGCUCUCCUUGCAGCAUGCUGCCCCCGCCCUUGCCGCCAACUCUGCCGUGAGAUGGACCUAAUAGGAAAUAGGAAAGAACGCCUGACAAGCCUGCUUCACAGGAAAUCUGAUUUGUCCUUCACUGAGCUCAUCUUUUGCUUCUUUGAGUAAAACCUGGCUUUACUAACUAUUGUCACAAAGUGGAUCUUCGGCUGUGGAUGAGUGUGAAAAACAGAAAAAAUAUAAAAUCCACAAAAUCUUGUGAAAAUUAAGCAUUUGGGGGAAGGUAAGGCAUAGCCUUUUGAGGAAUGCAAAACAGAAGACACAUUCCAACCCACUGGUUUCUAACAGAAGGGAAAAGAUACGCAUUAAAUGGCUAGACACCAAGAGCACACGGGUCUGGCUUAAUGAGAUGCUGGAGAAGAUUGUUAAAUUCAAAUCCAUGUUUUCA
rnacentral:sRNA from 1 species